AGCGAACGCUGGCGGCAGGCCUAACACAUGCAAGUCGAACGAACUCUUCGGAGUUAGUGGCGGACGGGUGAGUAACACGUGGGAACGUGCCUUUUGGUUCGGAAUAACUCAGGGAAACUUGUGCUAAUACCGAAUGUGCCCUUCGGGGGAAAGAUUUAUCGCCAUUAGAGCGGCCCGCGUCUGAUUAGCUAGUUGGUGAGGUAACGGCUCACCAAGGCGACGAUCAGUAGCUGGUCUGAGAGGAUGACCAGCCACACUGGGACUGAGACACGGCCCUGACUCCUACGGGAGGCAGCAGUGGGGAAUCUUGCGCAAUGGGCGAAAGCCUGACGCAGCCAUGCCGCGUGAAUGAUGAAGGUCUUAGGAUUGUAAAAUUCUUUCACCGGGGACGAUAAUGACGGUACCCGGAGAAGAAGCCCCGGCUAACUUCGUG
rnacentral:rRNA from 1 species